rnacentral:rRNA from 1 species
AGUGAACGCUGGCGGUAGGCCUAACACAUGCAAGUCGAACGGCAGCACAGUAAGAGCUUGCUCCUACGGGUGGCGAGUGGCGGACGGGUGAGGAAUACAUCGGAAUCUACUUUUUCGUGGGGGAUAACGUAGGGAAACUUACGCUAAUACCGCAUACGACCUACGGGUGAAAGCAGGGGAUCUUCGGACCUUGCGCGAUUGAAUGAGCCGAUGUCGGAUUAGCUAGUUGGCGGGGUAAAGGCCCACCAAGGCGACGAUCCGUAGCUGGUCUGAGAGGAUGAUCAGCCACACUGGAACUGAGACACGGUCCAGACUCCUACGGGAGGCAGCAGUGGGGAAUAUUGGGCAAUGGGCGCAAGCCUGAUCCAGCCAUACCGCGUGGGUGAAGAAGGCCUUCGGGUUGUAAAGCCCUUUUGUUGGGAAAGAAAAGAAGCAGGUUAAUACCCCGCUGUUCUGACGGUACCCAAAGAAUAAGCACCGGCUAACUUCGUG